rnacentral:rRNA from 1 species
GACGAACGCUGGCGGCGUGCCUAACACAUGCAAGUUGAGCGACGAACCAGGGCUUGCCCUGGGGCAAAGCAGCGAACGGGUGAGUAACACGUGGGUAACCUACCCCGAUAACCGGGACAACCCGAGGAAACUCGGGCUAAUACCGGAUGUGCUCACUGGACUUCGGUUCAGUGCGUAAAGGAAGCUUCGGCCUCCGUAUCGGGAGGGGCCCGCGGCCCAUUAGUUUGUUGGUGAGGUAACGGCCCACCAAGACCGCGAUGGGUAGCUGGUCUGAGAGGACGGUCAGCCACACUGGGACUGAGACACGGCCCAGACUCCUACGGGAGGCAGCAGUGGGGAAUCUUGCGCAAUGCGCGAAAGCGUGACGCAGCAACGCCGCGUGGGGGAAGAAGGCCUUCGGGUUGUAAACCCCUUUCAGGGGGGACGAAGGUUCGGCGGUGAAUAGCCGUCCGGACUGACGGUACCUCCACAAGAAGCCCCGGCUAACUACGUG